rnacentral:rRNA from 1 species
GGCGGACGGGUGUGUAACGCGUAGGUGACCUGCCUUUUGGUUUGGGAUAACACUGCGAAAGCGGUGCUAAUACCGAAUAAAAUUUUGUUGUUGCAUGAUGACAGAAUCAAAGCGGGCUUCGGCUCGUGCCAUUAGAUGGACCUGCGUAUCAUUAGCUAGUUGGUAAGGUAGUGGCUUACCAAGGCGACGAUGAUUAGCCGGCCUGAGAGAGUGACCGGCCACACUGGGACUGAGAUACGGCCCAGACUCCUACGGGAGGCAGCAGUGAGGAAUAUUGGGCAAUGGGCGCAAGCCUGACCCAGCAACGCCGCGUGAGGGAUGAAGCAUUAAGGUGUGUAAACCUCUGUUAGAAGGGACGAAUGGUUUACUUUCGAAUAGGGAGUAGAUUUGACGGUACCUUCAGAGAAAGCCCCGGCUAACUCCGUGCCAGCAGCCGCGGUAAUACGGGGGGGGCAAGCGUUGUCCGGAAUCAUUGGGCGUAAAGGGCAAGUAGGCGGAUUCAUAAGUCGGAAGUGAAAGUUCAGUGCUUAACAUUGAAAUUGCUUUCGAAACUGUAGAUCUUGAGUGUGAGAGAGGAAAGUGGAAUUCCC